rnacentral:lncRNA from 1 species
UCCUAUUGAUGAGGUUUCUGAUGUCCUCAACUUGCAUAACUGCUCUUCAAUGUUUACUCUUAGAGGAUGAGAUCUAGAAGGUAAGCUGAUUGAUCGGAGAUGACUAGCUGCCAUUUUUUUCCCUUCUAUUGAGGAAAGCCUAUAGAGAAUUUGAAUGUUGUAAUGGUCUUGGCUGUUGUUCAAACCAACACAUUGAACCUGUUAUAUAUGGAUGAGCAAUCGAUCAUAAGAAGAAUACCAUCUUCUUGAUCUACAUUAGCUGUCAUGUCCUGAGUUUUUGAGACAAUCUUGGCAACCUUUUGUCUGUGCAGUGCUGUUGGUGAGCUGUGAUUUAAAGAAUUGGGCGAUUAUUGGUUAAGUAUUGUUAUACAAACUACAAUUUCUGCGAGGUUCCAACAUCGAGAUCUCCAAGUAAUUAUAUAGCAUUGAUCUUGAAGACAAUGCAUGUAAUGACUCGAUUAAUAUAACCAAAUUAUUAAUUUAAAAUGGCAUUUGAUUGGGUUGUUAAUUUCCUGCUUUUGUUUGCAUGUGCAGAAGCCGAAGGACUGCAAUAAAAAUACUCAUCCACGAGCUGCAGCAUGCAGUUUCAUUAAUAAUUAAUGAGGCUUCUGAACAACUCUCGCUGCCAUGCGGUCCAGGGGUAAGUAGAAUCUUGACAGUCUUGGUUUCUUUUGAAUUCAGACACAGUCCAUGGAUGAUGGAGAUGUAUAAAUAGAAAUUAAAUUAAUAAUGCAACCACGCACAAAGGGGUUUAGCUUAGAUGAAUAAAAUGUUAUUAGAAUUUGGAAGACCAUAAGUGAAGCAUGAUCCACCUAUAUAUGGCCGGAUAUGCAGUUUCCCUGGUUUUUCAUUCAAAUGAAACUGAUGGAGAAGUAAUCAUAACUCCGCAGGCAAUGGUGUGAUUGGAUUAUUCAUGCUUGCUUGCCUUGUGAUAGAGACAUUAGAGUAGUUAUUCUCUGCCAUUUGGAGUUAGCAACCCAUUACAAAUUUCAUCACUAUUUUUUUUGUAGAAAACUUUUUAGUAUUGAAAAUCAGCUUUUUUCAUAAAAAAAAAACCAGUAAUUUAGAGAAACACUAUGAAUAUAAUUGAAGUGCUCAAUUAUAUGAGUAAAAAAGAAUGCAACAAAAGCCUAUAGUACAAUUCAAAAUAUGUACUACAAAUUCAAAAAUCAAAAUUAAUUAACAAUUCAAGGGCUCAAAUUAAAUUGGAAUGCAUGGUAUUAUCAUGGUUUUUUUAUUGCUCUUGUAGUCGAGAAUAAUGGAAACAGGUUUGUGACGGCUGUAUUAUAAUGGCAAUGGCCUAUCGCUAUUCAAAUUCUUUUGAAUAAUUUGCAAAGUUCAUGAUAUGAAGUUCAAUUCCUUGAGUGUGUUUGAGUCUGCAACUGGAUUUGGAUAUAUCAGUUGUUUGUUUCGCUGGAUCAACACUGACCAAAAGCAUCUGUACUUUUCUGUUUAUUUUUUUUUACUCUUUAUCUCUGGAUAUGAAAUCCCAUUAUCCUAGUUCAUCAUAUCCUGUUAAUUCUCGCAAUAAACUAUACACGUACAUUAAGUCAUGCGUACGUAACUACGUAUGUAGCUUGGAUAUGCUAUUAAUUGGGAAUGAUGUUUUGUAGCAAUUCAGUAGUGUUUACUCUAUUGAUAAUGAUUUUGUUAUGUUGAGAGGGGAGAGAAAGCAAAUUGAUGAAAAUAUUUUGCAAUCUUAGUAUUCUGGAUUGAACUUCAUUCUCUAUCUGUAUAUAUACAAAUAUAUCUACAAUUUGGUGUAUAACUCUAUGAUACAAAAUUGUGGUGAGCAGCUGAUGGAAGCAAUAGCUAAUGAUUCAGAAUGUUGAGAAGGGAAACUCUGGUUUUCACCAAUCGUCUAUAGACGCAUUCCAGAUCCUCUUCUGCCUCUUUAAUGCUCGACUCAAAUGCUUCCAAUUCUUUGAGAAGGUUUUGAAGUUGUGAAACUUUGAUGUCUUUGCUUGACUUCAGGAUAAGCAAUUCAGCGUCUAUCUUUUCAACUUCAUUGACUUCAAUUUCCACUUCACAUGAAACACGCUUGGACUGCAGCAAUUUUGGGAUUACAAACCAGCCCGAGGACGAUGAUUUUACCUUGGGCUGAGAAAUGAAAGAUAAGAUCGACUCAAACACCACAAGACUAAUUUCUUGAACUCCUCUUAGCAUGGUGAUCAUGUUCUCCAAAUUGGAGUUAUUGUCCAAGGUUGCUGUCGUGCAAUUUUUCUCCUUUUUCUUCAAAUUUCGUAAGCACUUGCAAAUUGCUUUGUUCAACUUCUUUCUAGAGACCAUGUAUGCAUCAACUUCUACUGUGAAGCUAGAGUCUGUGACUUUUCUUCUGCGUAGAGAUAGUUCAAGUUCUUGCAAACAUUCCUUCAUCUGUGAAAACAAAUCUCUUGUUGUAUCACAUAUAUCCAAUAGCUCCAGAGAUCCAUUCAUUGCAUUUUCUAUGGACUGGCUUUGCCUCUCAUUGGAGAUUGUCUGUUGGGCAAAUGACAGUUGAAGAAAAUCAUCAACAGACUCAAACAAAUUCUUCAGACCACUCAAUUUGUGUCCUAUUGAUGAGUAUUGUGAUGCCCUCAACUUGCCCAACUGCUCCUCAAUGUUUACUGCGAGAGGAUGAGAUCUAGAGGGUAAGCUGAUAGAUCGAAGAUGAAAAGCUGCCAUUUUCUCCCUUCUGCAGAUGAAAGCCUCUAAAGAAUUUGAAUGGACUGGUGGUCUUGGCUGUUGCUUAGACCAACACAUUGAAGCUGUUAUAUAUAUAGAUGAGCAAUAGAUCAUAAGAAGAACCACAUCUUAUUGAUCUACAUUAGCUGUCAUGUCCUGAGUUUUGAGACAGUUCUGAUAAUGUCUCGUCAAUGCGGUGUUUUGAGUGAGCAAUGUGAUUUAAAUAAAUUUGAUGGUUAUUGAUUUAAAAUAUUGUUUAUACAGAGUACCAUGUCUCCAUGGUUCCAACACACAGAUCUCAAGUAAUCAUAUAAAACUAAUCUUGAAUCCAUGCAUGUAAUGGUUCUAUUAAGAUAAUCAAAUUAAUAAUUUAAAAUCGGCAUUUGAUGGGGUUGGUCAAUUUCCUGCUUUUGCUUGCAUGUGCUGAAGCCUAAGGACUUGAAUAAAAAUAAUCACGCCCACGAGCUGCAGGAGCUCUUGAACAACUCUCCCUGCCAUGUGCUUGGCGUCCAGAACCAAGUAGAAACUUGACAGCCUUGGUUUCUUUUAAGAUGCAGUCCAUGGAGGAUAGAGAUUACAAAUAAAUUGUAAUUAAUAAAUAAUGGAACCAUGCACACAGGAGGUGCUAGGAAUUUGGUGGACCAAUCCUGCUAUAUAUGAAGUUUAGCUGAUUUUUAAUAUGAAACUAACUGAUAGAGAAGUAGGCAGAAUUUUGCGAGCAAUGGCUUGAUUGUAGGAAGCUCAACGUGGUUGAAUAUUACUUUGAUAUGAUAGGAAGAGCAAGAGGUGGGUUGUUCAAGCAUACUUAUCUGCUUUGUGCCAAAGAGAUUAGAAUAGCUAUUCUCUAUGAUAAUCUGCAUAUUAAACACUUAAAUUUUGAGUUUUAUUUUAUUUAAAAUAAGUGAAUUUAUUUGAGUUUUGAUAUUUUUGUAGGAUAAGUAAGGAUUAGAGAAUAAUAAGAGAAAGAUCGUAUUUGUGUUUGGAUUAUACAUUCUGAAAUUAAAAAGAGUGCCUUCUACGGUUGUUCAAGAAUUAGAGUUAGUUAACGAUCAUUUCUUAACUAGUUUAAAAACUAAGAAAGAAUUGGAUAUCUAAAAUGUUUUUUAUAUCUGUAACUGUUUUAUCAAUAAAUAAUUUGAAAUUAUCUUUGCAUCUGUCAUCAACUAAUAUAACUGAAACUAAAAUUGAUCAUUUGACUGAAUUCAUGUCAUGUUAAUUUUCUCUCUUAAAUUUAAUUGUUCUUCUUAUUUGGUUAAUUUAGUUUAUUUUCUCAUUGAAAUAAUUCUUAUUUCCUUGCAUUUAAAAUUUUUCAUUUUUAUUUUUAUUUUGCUUUUAUUUACUCAAUAAAAUUACUUUCUGAAGAAUUUUAGAAGAAAUUUUUUAUUUUAUUCCAAUUGAAUUGAUAUUUACAAGGAGGUAGGUUUGAGUAUUUAUAUACAAAGAAUCCAUUUAAAUUAGAAAUAUUUAUGAUAAAAAUAAAAUCAUAAUUAGAAUCCCAAAAAUUUGAAUCAAGCCUAAUUAGGAUCUCAAAUAUUUGAAUCCUUCUAAUUAGGAACCUUCUAUGAUGGUCAAUACUCCCCCUCAAGUUGGUGCAUAGAUAUUACACAUGCCCAACUUGUAAAGUAAGGUGUGGUAGGUCUUGUUACUAAGUCCUUUGGUAAACACAUCAAGUAGCUAUUCAUCGGAAGUCACAUGAUCUAAUCUCAAGACACCAUUUAUUAACUUCUCUUUAAUAAAGUGUCGAUCAAUCUUUAUGUAUUCCGUUCGGUCAUAUUGAACCGGAUUGUGAGCUAUACUUUGGCAGCUUUGUUGUCACAAUACAAGAGGAGUUUGUCCCUCUCUAAUAGUUUCAAUUCAUCCAACAAUCUCUACAACCAUAGGAGUUCACAGAUACAUUGUGCCAUCGCUCUAUAUUCCGCCUCACUUUUUGCUUCUCCAAGUGUUAAGGUUUCAUUCCACAAGUGUACAGUAAUCACUAGUCGACCUUUUAUCGUCAAGAGAUCCAACUCAAUCUACAUCUGUAAAUGCAUGUAUGCGAAGAUGACCAUAUUUAAAGAAUAUGAGACUUGUUCUAGAAGCAAACUUCAAGUAUCGCAAAAUGCGAAAAACAGCUUGCAUGUUAGACUUACGAAGAUCAUGCAUAAACUGAUUGACUAAGCUAACUGCAUAUGCUAUGUCUGGUCAAGUAUGAGAAAGAUAAAUCGGUCUGGUUACCAAUUUCUGAUAUCUGUCAAUAUCCACUGAUUCACCAAUCUCUGCUUGUAGCUUGUGAUUGCUCUCAAUGGGAGUUUCUGCUAGUUUGCAACCUAACAUACUAGUUUCUUCCAAAACAUUCAGAAUAUAUUUUCUCUGAAAAAUAAAGAUUUCCUUCUUUAACCUGACAACCUCGAUUCCCAGGAAAUAUUGCAAUUUUUCUAGAUCUUUAACUUCGAAUUCCUAAGCUAAAAGUUUUUUCAAUUGAGUCAUCUCUUCAAUGUCAUUCCCGUCAUUACUAUGUCAUCAACAUAAACUAUGAGAAGAGUAAUUUUACCUCUAUGUUGAUGACAUAGUAAUAACGGGGAUGACACUGAAGAGAUGACUCGGUUUAAAAAACUUUUAGCUCAGGAGUUUGAAAUUAAAGAUCUAGAAAAACCAAACUAUGGGUGACUGUUUCAAUCUAGACAAAGUUUUCUUUAGCUUGCACACCUUUUAUUGUGUUUUUUCAUCAGCAAAUUCAGGAGAAAUUUCCAUAUACAGUUCCUCCUCCAAGUCUCUAUGAAAGAAUGCAUUUUUCACAUCAAAUUGUUGUAGAUCCCAGUCAAGGUUGACAGCAUAAUAUAACAAUACUCUGAUUAAGUUCAUUUUAGCAGUAGGGACAAAUAUCUCCUGGUAAUACGCUCCAUAGGUUUGAGUGUAUCCCUUGGUAACUAGUCUAACCUUGAAUCUUUUAAUUGAUCUAUCUGCUUUGUGUUUCACAGUGAAAUCCCCUUUGCAGCCAACUGGUUUUUUUUCCAGGUGGAAGAGACAUCAACUCUCGGUUCUCAUUUUUAGCCAAGACUUUCAUUUUUUUAAUCAUUGCUCUCUUCUAAUUAGAAUCUUUGAGAGUUUCCUUCUAAUCCUGUGGGAUAGACACAGAGGAAAUAGACAAAACAAAAACUCUAUAGGAUAGAGAAACAUAAUCAUAAGAGAGAAGGUUAGAAAUAGAGUGCUUGUGCAAGAUCGAACUCCUUUUUUUUUGAACAAUUGGUUUAUUUAGAUCAUCAAUGGGCUCAAAGUUUAAGGAUUACUCAUCAGAUGGAGAAGAAGAAGAUUCAUAACAUUGAGUAGGCUACACAAUAGCUUUUUCUACUUCUAGUUUGUGUUUUCUUGAGUAUCUCCUUAAAUCUAGUUUAUCCAGACACCCAAUUUGAUCACCAAUAGUCUCUCCUGUAUAAUAAUCUUUCCCUGUGUACUAGUCUCCUCUAGACUAAAACGUUUAGUAAUAGUAAUGAUUAGAAAUUAAAAAGUCUACUGAUAAGAAAUUAAAAAGUCAUAUAUAAAUUGUAAUACUAAAGAUAAAAAAAUUUAUUUAUUAUGGAGAUAUUAAUUAGUAAUAUUAUUAAAUAUGAAAAUAUAACUUGAAAAUAAAAAUAAAAAUAAAAAUAAAAUAUAUUAAGUGUGCUACUUGGCACAAUAUACAAAUUUAAGAGAGCCACUUAGGUGUAAUUAUCUGAACCUAACUAUGUCAUUUGUCGAUCUUUUCAUAGCCUAUUUUAGAACUCAACUUUAUUUAUAUAGAUAGAUAGAUCGAUUUCUUAAGACAUUUGCAAAUUGCUUUCUUCAGCUUUUUUCUAGAAAUCAUGUAUGCAUCAACUUCGUCUCUCAAGCCACAGUCUCUGCCUUUUCUUCUACGAAGAGAUAAUUCAAGCUCCUGAACACAUUCUUUCAUCUGUGAGAAAAAGUCUCUUGUGGAAUCACACAAAUCCAACAGCUCCAGAGAUCCAUUCAAUACAUUUUCUACACACUGGCUUUGCCUCUCAUGACAGAGAGUCUGUUGGGCAUGUGGCAGUUGAAGCAAAUCAUCAACACACAAACAAAUUUUUUAGGCCACUCAAUUUGUGGCCUUUUGAUGAAGACUGCGAUGCCUUCAACUUGCAUAGCUGCUCCUCAAUCUUAGAAUAGGAGAAGAAAACAGAGGAGAGAAGUGAAGUAACAAGAGAGAAAAAAAUUUUUCAAAUAGCAUAUCAUUCAAGACUUGAUCAGCUUUCCAUUAUACAAAGUAAAGAUAUGGAAAAAUAAUUUUAUCAGUACAAAUUUUCAACUAACAGCUACCCAAUACAAAAGAAAACCACAAAAGUAGCUGCUGACUUUCUUGCUAUAAUCAAGUCCCUGUUCUACUAACUUUUUACUGACUAAAGUAAAAUUCAAGAAAUUAUAUUUCAGUUGAUUUCCAGAAAUUCAGGUCUUCAUGUUCAGAGGGAAACUCAACUACUGUCACUCAAUACUAACAGUUAGAGGAUGAGAUCUGGAUGGUAAACUGAUUGAACGAAGAUGACAAGCAGCUUUUUUUUUUUUUUUGGCUUCUUGAAGAAAACCUACCAAGAAUGUGAGUGUACAGGUGGUCUUGGUUGCUGUUUAACCCAAUCAAUUGAACAUCUUAUAUAUGCAAGAGCACCAGAAAUAGGAAUCCAUCUUCCUGACCUGCAUUAGCUGUCAUGUGCUGAGUUUUGCUACUGUCCCAGCAAUGUCUCAACAAUGUUAUGCUGUGAUUAAGGAAUAUGAUUAAAAAAAAUUAUUAUAAUAUCGUCACAACAAAUACCAUGUGCCUCAAGGUCCCAAGGCACUGUGAUAACCAUCAAAUUAUGUAGUAUUAAACUUGAAAGCGUGCAUAUGAUGAUUUUACUUAGAUAACAAUAAUAAUAAUUGUUUGACAUUGUGAUUGAUGAAGUUGUUUGGUGUUUGCAUGUGCAGAAUCUGACAAACUUCGGUAAAAUAUUAACAUCCAUGUGCAAGAUGCAGCUUCCUUUCUAGACAAACAAGAACCUGCACAUUGUUGUUGUUGUUUUCAUAUAUUUUCUGCAUGCCAAUGGAUGAUGAGACUCUCGAGCCUUAAGCAACUCUGGUUGUGAUGCCUGGUGUCUGUGAACAGGUAGAAUCUUGACAACAUCUGUUUUGCUUAAAUUAAGCACAUACCACGCAUGGUGUAGAUAAAUAAAUUAAUAACCCAAUCAUAGAGGAGAUGAUAAAGUCUGGUUGGCCAAAAGGGAAAGCAUGAUCCACCUAUAUUGCUGCAGAUCAAGUUUAGCUGUCCUUUUUCCUGAACCAAGUAAUGAGAGAAAGAUGCUGAACAUUUUUAAAAUGCACUCCAUCUUUUUUCUUUUAAUUAAAUAAAUGGCAAUGUUGUCCUCACUUUGAUAUGAUUAAAUAACAAGUCAAGUAUGGAUAAUAUAGUCAUUAAUUAAACAAAAAAAGAUAGAAUGAGGUGCAUUUAAGAAAUUUACAUCCAAUUUAUUAAACUAAAACUCCUAUAGAGAAAUUCCUAGGACUCUAAUGAUCAAGAAAUUCUAUUGGUUUAUAUUUGCAAUGCUUUGAUUGAAGUCUUGACUAUCAAGAAAAUCUGUUUACGCUUAUUAGCUUGUACGCUGAUUUACUCCAUCAACAGCAAAAAUAAUUAGUUUUAAACGAUCAAGAAAAGGCAAAUUGAUGUGACGUUUGCAAUCUUAACGUGUUCGUAUUAAAUUUCAUUCUCUAUCUGUACAUAUAUCAACAAUUUGCAGUAUAAUUUAUGAUACAAAAUUGUGUUGGGCAGUUGAUGGAAGCAAGGACACUAAUGAUUCAGAAUGUUGAGUAGGGAUACUCUGGUUUUCACCAAUCGCCUAUAGAUGCAUUCCAGCUCCUCUUCUGCCUCUUUCAUGCUUGACUCAAAUGCUUCCAAUUCUUUAAGAAGUUUUUGAAGUUGUGAAAGACUGAUGUCUUUGCUUGAUUUCAGGCUAAGCAAUUCAGCACCAAUCUUCUCUGCUUCAUUGGCUUCAAUUUCCACUUUACAUGAAACACGCUUGGACUGCAGCAAUUUUGGGAUUGCAAACCAGCCAGGGGGUGAUGAUCUUACCUUUGGCUGAGAAAUGAAAGAUA